UGAUUAUAAACCUUAUCUAAGCAUAAAAUACAUAUGAACAAGAAAAGUUAACUACUUCAUAUCCUUUCAUUUUCCCCUCUUUGAGCAAACACUUGCUCAUAUUGUCGGUUAACAUUCUCCCAGGACAGAGAAACUUCCACAUUAUGACAUUCCUAAGCAAUCAUGUGGUCUACAAGAAACAGAAACUCAGCAGGAAAAAAGACACUUAAUACUUUUGCAGACAGAUAUACAGAAAAUGGAUGUUUAAGACAAAAUGGAAUUUGGGCUUAUAGCAAAUAUAUUAUUGCAAAUAGCUGACAUGUUAACCAAUUUUAAACAGACUAACCAGCCGGUCAGUUGUUUUCCUCCUUCGUCCACGGAAGUGGG